CUCUGAAGUUUUUCUCAAGAUAGCUGGUGUACGUAAUGAAGCAGUUAUAUACGGCAAAGUGAACGACUGGAGGAGUUGUGGGACGGAACGUCUUCAAUCUAUCCUCAGACUGUCAAUGAGUAUGACGUCUUGCUUGCUUGAAUGAAGCGUAGACAUUGAAUGUGUGCUCCAAGUGGGCCAUUUGCGGUAAGUAGAAUUGACGCUGUGAGAUGAACCAAACGUUGACUUAACGAAUAAGUCUUAAACCAUUAUAUUAGUGUUCCAUUCAAGAGCCAUUCCUUCUGACUAAUUCACAAUAGGCGGAAUAGGACGUUUAUUUAAAUGAG
rnacentral:ncRNA from 1 species